CCACAUACCUCAAGCUAUUGAUUUAUUUGCUUUCUUCGCAUUUUUGGACCAAGUAAAAGUAGGCGGUCAAGUCUGGUGCCAGUCUAUUAUAAACCAAAAUACAGACAACGAAAUGUUCGGACAUCGCUCGCUUCGCGCCAAAACCGGCCAGUCUGUCCGCGGCCCGCAGAGCGCAUGCGCGCGCCAUCUUGCGUUGUCAUGGUAACGAGAUUGUAAUCAAACUGCCGACCAAUAAAAACGUGAAAAUUGUAUGAAAAACUCCUUUGAAGUGAAAAGUUGUGCUUGUGUUUAUUUCUGUGAUUGUUUUUUAUUAUGACGUAGUGCGCGGACGCACCAAGAUGGCUGGCUGGGGACUGUGGCUGGUGCUGGCGCUGGCUGGAUAUGUGCACGGUCAAGGCGCAGAGAAACGAAGAACCGGCAAUGUGUGCAGCGUGGACAUGGACUGUCCCGACAACGCCUUCUGCAGGCAGAGCAGCUACUGCGUCUGCAAGGAUGGCUUCGUGUAUGCAGCGGUCAACAGCACGCACAAGGGGUGCUU